AUUGUGGGGAAUGUUGUCUGGCUCGAGGAAUCUUUAAUCUUGAUCAAAUUCUUUACACAGAUCUAGUAUUAUAUAUGUUGUAUAUAUUUUUAGAUCUUAUAUAGAUCUAUAAUUGCUAGUUGUUAGAUCUAUGAAUUUGGUCAUAUAUUUUUGCGUCGUCGGACCAGGCUUCAUUCCCCUCAAA
rfam:Nicotiana attenuata strain TT chromosome 8, whole genome shotgun sequence.